rnacentral:tRNA from 1 species
CUUAUAAUAGCAUAUUUACUGCAUUUGAUUGUUACUCAAAAGAAACACAGGCGUGUUUAUAAGG